rnacentral:rRNA from 1 species
CAUGUCUUUUUGAUAAUAAUUUAAAGUCUGACCUGCCCUAUGAAUUAUUAAAUGGCUGCGGUAUACUGACCGUGCAAAGGUAGCAUAAUAAUUAGUUUUUUAAUUGGGAACUGGAAUGAAUGGUUGGACGAGAGAAAAACUGUCUCAAUUUAAUUUAAAUUAGAAUUUUAUUUUUAAGUUAAAAAGCUUAAAUAAAUUUAAAAGACGAGAAGACCCUAUAGAAUUUUAUAUAAAUUUUUAUUAUGUGAAAAUUAAAGUAUUUAAUUUUAAUAAUAAAAAUUUAUAUUUAGUUGGGGUGAUUGAAAAAUUUAAUAAACUUUUUUUUAUGUUUACCAUUGAUAUAUGAAUUAUUGAUCCAUAUUUUAUGAUUAUAAGAUUAAAUUACCUUAGGGAUAACAGCGUAAUUUUUUUUUAGAGUUCUUAUCGAAAAAAAAGUUUGCGACC